ACCGAUAGUGAACCAGUACCGUGAGGGAAAGGCGAAAAGAACCCCGGAAGGGGAGUGAAAUAGAUCCUGAAAUCGUAUGCAUACAAACAGUGGGAGCGGACUUGUUCCGUGACUGCGUACCUUUUGUAUAAUGGGUCAGCGACUUACGUUCAGUAGCGAGCUUAACCGAAUAGGGGAGGCGUAGGGAAACCGAGUCUGAUAAGGGCGAUAGUUGCUGGGCGUAGACCCGAAACCAAGUGAUCUAUCCAUGGCCAGGAUGAAGGUGGGGUAACACUCACUGGAGGUCCGAACCCACUAACGUUGAAAAGUUAGGGGAUGAGCUGUGGAUAGGGGUGAAAGGCUAAACAAACUUGGAAAUAGCUGGUUCUCUCCGAAAACUAUUUAGGUAGUGCCUCACGUAUCACUCUCGGGGGUAGAGCACUGUUAUGGCUAGGGGUCUAUUGCUGAUUACCAAACCAUUGCAAACUCCGAAUACCGAGAAGUGCGAGCGUGGGAGACAGUCAUCGGGUGCUAACGUCCGGUGACAAAAGGGAAACAACCCAGACCGCCGAUUAAGGUCCCAAAGACAUAGUUAAGUGGAAAACGAAGUGGGAAGGCUAAAACAGUCAGGAUGUUGGCUUAGAAGCAGCCAUCAUUUAAAGAAAGCGUAAUAGCUCACUGAUCGAGUCGUCCUGCGCGGAAGAUGUAACGGGGCUCAAACUAUGCACCGAAAUCGCGGAUAUGUACUUGUACAUAUGGUAGGAGAGCGUUCUGUAGGCCUGCGAAGGUGUGGUGUGAACCAUGCUGGAGGUAUCAGAAGUGCGAAUGCUGACAUGAGUAGCGAUAAAGGGAGUGAAAGGCUCCCUCGCCGAAAACCCAAGGUUUCCUGUUCAACGUUAAUCGGAGCAGGGUGAGUCGGCCCCUAAGGCGAGGCUGAGAAGCGUAGUCGAUGGGAAACAGGUUAAUAUUCCUGUACCUCAAUGUAAUGCGAUGUGGGGACGGAGAAGGUUAAGCAAGCCAUCUGUUGGAAUAGGUGGUUUAAGCGUGUAGGGAGAUCUCUUAGGCAAAUCCGGGAGGUCAAUUCUGAGGCGUGAUGACGAGUGCACUUCGGUGCGAAGUUGCUGAUACCAAGCUUCCAAGAAAAGCCACUAAGCUUCAGUUACAUUGAGACCGUACCGCAAACCGACACAGGUGGGUAGGAUGAGAAUUCUAAGGCGCUUGAGAGAACUCGGGUGAAGGAACUCGGCAAAUUAGCACCGUAACUUCGGGAAAAGGUGCGCCCCGAUAGAGUGUAGCGACUUGCUCGUGAAGCUCGAUGGGGUUGCAGUGAAAUGGUGGCUGCGACUGUUUAAUAAAAACACAGCACUCUGCAAACACGAAAGUGGACGUAUAGAGUGUGACGCCUGCCCGGUGCUGGAAGAUUAAAUGAUGGGGUGCAAGCUCUUGAUUGAAGUCCCAGUAAACGGCGGCCGUAACUAUAACGGUCCUAAGGUAGCGAAAUUCCUUGUCGGGUAAGUUCCGACCUGCACGAAUGGCGUAACGAUGGCCACACUGUCUCCACCCGGGACUCAGCGAAGUUGAAAUGUUUGUGAAGAUGCAAUCUACCCGAGGCUAGAC
rnacentral:rRNA from 1 species